CUCGGAGCUGAGGGACUAGAGAGUGGAGCUGGGCCGACAUUUGGGCCUAAAAAAUGAGUUCAACGGUUUGUGUUUUGAAGGAGGCGGGGUGGCCUGAGCUUCGGAGAAGAAAUACAUUGAGGCCUUGCCGGUCGGCAAGGGUAAGUGCGCACUGGGCCUGCCCUUGUUCUGACUUUCAAAGAGCCUACCGUUCGGCAAAGUGGUCUUUUUCCCAUUAUAAUCCGGUUCUUGGAGGGAGCAUUGGAGUUGGUUCUGCAACAUCCAUUCGGGUCUAGGUCCUGAGAGCUGCAGCUGGGCUUUUGUCAAGCCUUGGAGCCGAUUUGGAAUUCUUGAGGCUGGCCCACCAAUGGCUUUUAUAGGCUUUGUUUAUUCUUAAAUCUCAACUUGAGUUGGGUCUUGUAAUAAAUAUAGUGUGCAUGCAAGUAUAUUGAAAUAACGAAAUGCAAGAAGAGGGAAUCUUAUCUCAUAGUGGGGAUGCACGUGGGCAUCCUUUAGAUUAAUU